GACGAACGCUGGCGGCGUGCUUAACACAUGCAAGUCGAACGAUGAAGCGGUGCUUGCACCGUGGAUUAGUGGCGAACGGGUGAGUAAUACGUGAGUGACCUACCUUUGACUCUGGGAUAAGCCUGGGAAACUGGGUCUAAUACCGGAUACGACCAAUCUCUGCAUGGGGUGCUGGUGGAAAGCGUUAUGGAGUGGUUUUAGAUGGGCUCACGGCCUAUCAGCUUGUUGGUGAGGUAAUGGCUUACCAAGGCGACGACGGGUAGCCGGCCUGAGAGGGUGACCGGCCACACUGGGACUGAGACACGGCCCAGACUCCUACGGGAGGCAGCAGUGGGGAAUAUUGCACAAUGGGCGCAAGCCUGAUGCAGCGACGCCGCGUGAGGGAUGACGGCCUUCGGGUUGUAAACCUCUGUUAGCAUCGAAGAAGCGAAAGUGACGGUAGGUGCAGAGAAAGCGCCGGCUAACUACGUGCCAGCAGCCGCGGUAAUACGUAGGGCGCGAGCGUUGUCCGGAAUUAUUGGGCGUAAAGAGCUUGUAGGCGGUUGGUCGCGUCUGCUGUGAAGGCCGGGGCUUAACUCCGGUUUUGCAGUGGGUACGGGCUAACUAGAGUGCAGUAGGGGAGACUGGAAUUCCUGGUGUAGCGGUGGAAUGCACAGAUAUCAGGAGGAACACCGAUGGCGAAGGCAGGUCUCUGGGCUGUAACUGACGCUGAGAAGCGAAAGCAUGGGGAGCGAACAGGAUUAGAUACCCUGGUAGUCCAUGCCGUAAACGUUGGGCACUAGGUGUGGGGGACAUUCCACGUUUUCCGCGCCGUAGCUAACGCAUUAAGUGCCCCGCCUGGGGAGUACGGCCGCAAGGCUAAAACUCAAAGGAAUUGACGGGGGCCCGCACAGGCGGCGGAGCAUGCGGAUUAAUUCGAUGCAACGCGAAGAACCUUACCAAGGCUUGACAUGCAUUAGAUCGCGUCAGAGAUGGCGUUUCCCUUCGGGGCUGGUGUACAGGUGGUGCAUGGUUGUCGUCAGCUCGUGUCGUGAGAUGUUGGGUUAAGUCCCGCAACGAGCGCAACCCUCGUUCUAUGUUGCCAGCGGUUCGGCCGGGGACUCAUAGGAGACUGCCGGGGUCAACUCGGAGGAAGGUGGGGAUGACGUCAAAUCAUCAUGCCCCUUAUGUCUUGGGCUUCACGCAUGCUACAAUGGCCGGUACAGAGGGUUGCGAUACUGUGAGGUGGAGCUAAUCCCUUAAAGCCGGUCUCAGUUCGGAUUGGGGUCUGCAACUCGACCCCAUGAAGUCGGAGUCGCUAGUAAUCGCAGAUCAGCAACGCUGCGGUGAAUAGGUUCCCGGGCCU
rnacentral:rRNA from 1 species